UACGUAGGUGGCAAGCGUUGUCCGGAUUUACUGGGCGUAAAGAGCGCGCAGGCGGUCCUUCAAGUCGAAUGUGAAAUCCCCCGGCUCAACUGGGGAGGGUCAUUCGAUACUGAUGGACUCGAAGGCAGGAGAGGGAAGCGGAAUUCCCGGUGUAGUGGUGAAAUGCGUAGAUAUCGGGAGGAACACCAGUGGCGAAGGCGACUUCCUGGCCUGUUCUUGACGCUGAGGCGCGAAAGCUAGGGGAGCAAACGGG
rnacentral:rRNA from 1 species